GGCUUCCCUGCCAUUAGCACUCUGGUAGUGGCCCUGGCAGGCCUCUAGUGUUAAUACACCUGCCCAGCACAAGUAGGGCCAUGCCAGGCGGUGUCCUGGGACCAUGGGCAGAGCAGACAGUCGGCACUGCAACAUGCCUUCACUCCACUGGGAGAGAGUGUUGCUUGGAAUUGCCUGCUGUGCAGUGACUAUGACCCUCUGGUCCCUGUGCAUUUGGCAGCUUGUCGUCAGGUUUCACA
rnacentral:lncRNA from 1 species